CACAGCCAUUUGGGAUUUUGGGUCGCGACAUCAUGUCGAUCUAGAGAGAGGAGAGUUAAGUGAGAAAGAGUACCGCACUACAAGAAAAAGGGUUAUUAGCGAUCAAGAUUUAGCGACAAAUAUAAAAUAUGGUCCCUAAUGGUACACUUACAGGGAUGAUAUUAUUUUCAGGUCUCUAAUACGCAUUUUUAGUUUUUAAUGAAAUGAAGGGCAUAGAGAGCCAAUCGCUAGUAAUAAAAUUUAUACGCGGGUCGCACUAAAAAUUUCACCAAAUCAAAAAAUUCCUUAUCUCUCUCUCUCCAAAAUCCCUGAAGAAUCCCAAUUGCUAAAGGAGGGAAACAAAAACUUUGCCCUCUCUCUCUGUAGAAUCCCUGAAGACCUAAACCCAGCUAAAAUCAAUUUGAGAUUUCAAAGUUCUUCUUCUUGAUUGAUAGCUGCUGGAGUCUACUUCUUUCUGAGGGUUUGCACAAAUUCAUGUGGAUGCUACUCAACACUUGUCUGAUGAUGAAUGGAAUAAACAAUUUAUUGAAUGGUUUAAAGUUAGGGUUGCAGAAUUGCAUAAAGGAGAUGAUAGUAGAUUAUCCAAAAUCUGCUCGAACUUUCACGUGGUCCUACCAAAUAUGUGACACAUUUUAAUGGCUACCUCGUUAAUGGAUAUAGAUAUCAUGUAGAGGAUUAUGAUAAACAGUUACGUACUCAAAAUUGUGGCGUGGUUGUUGUUGGUGAAACUGAUAAACAAAGUGAGAAUAUUGAUUACUAUGGGAUAUUAACUGAUGUUCUUGAAUUGCAAUUCGUUGGUCGAAGAGUGAUUUAAUUUCGAUGUAAUUGGUUUGAUGUGUAUCAUAAAACAAAAGGAGUUAAAAAAGAUGAAUAUGGCUUGGUAAGUGUUAAUUGGGGGCGAUUUUUGAAAACAAAUGAGCCUUUGAUAUUAGCGGACCAAGCAUCUCAAGAAUUUAAUGCUAGUGAUAAUUCCAAUAAAUGUUGGCGUGUAGUGAGAAAGAUGCAACCUCAUGAUACCUAUGAGGUUGUGCAACAAAUGGAUGAUGAUGUUGUAGGUUUAGAAAAUCCUACACAAAAUAAACGAAGAAGAAUGGAUGAGGUUUAAUAUGAAACCAUUAAAGCCUGAAAAUGAGGUGAGAUCCACUGUGAAGGCUGCACCGGAUGCUAUAGGGAAGGGACGAGGGCGAAGGAUUACAUCUAUAGGGGUUUCUGGUAAUAAGAUGCUUCAGCAAAGGGACGAAGGCAAGGACUUAGACCUAUGUACUCUUUAAAGGUAUAUGGAAAUGAGGUGGGAUCCUUCCAUAAAAUAGCAUGUCUACAGGAAAAGGACUGGGAACGAUGAAUAAAAAUCCCUUGAUUCUUGAGAAAGAGCAUAUGCAAACUAAUGUUCUGUUUUCUCCAUCUGCUAAUCAAGUUGUGCAAUCCACCCAAACAUUUGAACCAAGAGAUAUAGCGAAGGGAAAGGAUCGAGGGCUAAGAUCUAUGGGCGCUUUCGGGGUGUCUGGAAAUGAAGGGGGAUCUUCCUAUAAGAGUGCUCUUUAUGCUAGUCAAAGUAUGCCAACACCUUCUAACAGUAAUAGAUCAGAUUCUACCGUGUCUACUACAAAAGGAAUGCGAAUGACGAAUAGAAACCCUUUGGUUCCGGAGAAAGAGCAUAUGCAAACUGAUGUUCCUUUUUCUCCAUCUACUAAUCAAGUUGUGCAAUCCACCCAAACAGUUGAACCAAGUUCAUGUACUACUAAAAAGGUAAGAAAAGUUUGAGGAAGUAACAAGUGCAAAGAAGUUGCAUCACUGGAAGUGGGAAAAAAGCUGAAAGUCACAUUUUACAAUAAUCGAACAUUUGGAAAGAAUAGCAGUCUAUUUACGAGGCACUUGGAGAAAUUAGUUCGUGAUCGUAAUAUGUGUCCAUUAGGAGUAUCAUCAUGGGAUGACAUUAAAGAAGAAAAGUUAAAUCACAUGUGGGCAGCAGUUGCGGAUAAAUUUGAGAGUGAUGACAUGAACAUUAAUCGCGAUCACAUCUUGGCAUGGAUGAAAGAAUUAUGGAACAAAUGGAGAGGUGGAUUGCAUGCAAAGUAUGUAAAGGGGCAAAAAAUAUGGCAAACCACCAGAUUUGGCAACUGUUUUCUUUGAUACUCGCCAGAAGAAUAACACACUUGUCGAUUCUGAAACAAUCAAAAAACAUGCUCAAAUUCAAGAAUUGAUGUCGUUCGAACCUUCUCUUCCGAGCAUAGAGAUUGUAGAAAAAUGCUUUGGACCCCAGACUUGUAGCCAUGUAUUUGGCUUUGGGGGUGGAGUAAAGGCAAAGGAUUUGAAAGGUAGGACUUCCUCAAAGACUGAAUUAUUGUCAGAACUACGUUCAACUCAAGAGGAAAAUAAUUCUUUGAAGGAUCGAUUGUCAAACGUAGAAAAUGAGAUGAAGCAAUUAAAAGAACUGGUAUUAGCUCAACACUCAAAUUGUUCAGCCUCCGACAUCACCUAUUUCAGGAGAAGAUUGAAUAUACCCAGGUUCUGGAUACUGGAGUUCACAUGAACCAAGUUUUUGAGGACGUACAACUAUUUGACUAUCAUUUUGCUAGGAAUGUUGGACAAAUUUUAUAUUUUACAAUAGCUUACGUUGUGGUUGUACAGUGCCAGCAACUGAUGUUGAUCCUUUUUUGUAAUUAAUUUCUCUAUAUACUCCCUCUGUUUCAAUUUAUGUGAACCUAUUUCUUUUUUAGUCUGUGCGAAAAUGAAUGACUUCUUUCCUAAUUUAGAAACAAAUUCACUUUAUAAAUGAUUUACAGCCACACAAAUAUUGAAGAUUUAUUUUUAACCACAAGUUUCAAAAGUCUUCUCUCUUUUUUAAAUGUCGUGCCCAGUUAAAUGGGUUCACAUAAAUUGAAACGGAGGAAGUAUAUGUUAUCAAAUGCUCCACAGGUUCAUCAUUAUAUUAUCCUGUCA